CAGUGUCCCCCAAGAACACUUUGCCCUCACUAUUUGCAGUGCCAGAAUGAAAACACGCUGUGGUCUGUCUGGCCCAGCAAACCCUGCCGAGCCUUGUAGAAGUCCUGUCCUUCCCUAUAGGCUCCUUUGUGCCUUGGCACAGAGAGCAUGAAAACGCACUUUGUUCCAGCCUGGGGGUGACCCUGCCGUGCGACAUCAGGGAUUGAGCUGGAGCUUUGGCCACAGCCUGGGGUGGCCACCAUCGCCCAUAACUGUGGUAUUCUUUCAGACGUAACGGAAACCACCACACUCAGUGUGUGAGUAAUUAGGAACAGGGAACUUGUGUCCCUCCCUCUCUGCAGUGCUCGUGACAAAUAGUGAGGGGGAGUAUUUUAAUUUGAUUCUUCAAAUGAUAAAAAUUCAGUUUCGUGUUGUGCCCUAUCCUUGUGGUUGGUGAACCACCUUUACCGCCCUGGAGUGUCCAUUUUUGUGCAUGGUUGGAAGUCUCAAAAAACAAAAUUUCAGAAUUUGACCCCAGUGGGACCCACUUGAUCACCCACGUUCUUAAAACACUGCAGUGGUAGAAUGCCUGGUAGACAGAGCUGAUGAUAUGAUUUUCAUUAAAUAUAUCUUUGAUUGUA